rnacentral:rRNA from 1 species
AAGUAAUUUUUAAAAUUUAUUUAUUUUGGUGGCAUUUCAUCUUAUUAGGGGAACUUGUUUUAUAAUCGAUAAUCCACGAUAAUUUUAACUUUAAUUAAAAAUUUAUAUACCGCCAUCUAAAGACUUAAUUUUAAAAUACACUCUUAAUAAAAAUUAAAAAGUUAGGUCAAGGUGUAAUCUAUAUUAAAGAAAUAAAUGAGUUACUAUAAAAUAAAUUUAAGGAUUAAAUAAUAAAAAUUUAUUAUAAAAUAGAAUUU